ensembl:lncRNA
GAAAACAAAUUCCCCACCACCAAGAGUAGAGGCCCCAGCAAGGACAGUCACAACAAUGGUGGCCGUCAGGCACCCUGUGAAGCAGAGUGGAGCCGCAGGCAGCAAGCAGAUCAUGCCUGGGAUAAAGACUGUGGCGGCUGUGCUAGGGGUGGCAGUAACACAGGGAGACUCUCAGUAAGGGGACCUGAGGUACCCUCAAAGAGCACCCAUCAUUCAUUCAUUCAUUCAUUCAUUCAUUCACUUAUUCAACAAAUACUGAUUGAAUCCUGCUCUUUACCAGGUUAUACUAGGUACCAAGAAUACAGGGUCAGCAAAGACAGGCAUGGUCCCUGCCUUCAAAAGGAGAGGACCUUGAUCAAAUACCCACACAAAUUAACAUCAUUGCAAUGUGUGGGGUCCUGGGUAUAUAAUGAGGGGAUUUUGUUAAUAAGGGACAUCAGGGAAAUCUCUGAGGAAAUGAUGAGUGAAAUAAAAUCUGAAGGAACAAUAGGAUUAACUAAGCCCAAUGGGUCCUGGGCAUCCCCUAGAGUGGGGCUGCACAUGCGUAUUCAAGGCCAUGAAAGAUGGCAAGUGUGACCUGAAUGUAGACAGCAAGGAGGCGAGAUUCUCAACCAGGCUGGGGAAGGCCAUGCACAGGCAGCCACUGGAGUGUUGAAGUGGACAGGUGUUAUGUGAUUCAAUGUGCAUUUGAGAAAGAGUUUGAUCUCCCUGUGGAGAACAACUUGGAAAAUGUCAUAACUAAAUGUCAUUAGACCAGUUAAGAAGCUAUUUGCUACAGGUGAGUUGGGGUCUAGGAGAGGGACAACGGAGGGGAAAAUGAUGAUGGGGUAGAUAGGCUUACAACAUAUUCCACUCCUGAAAGAUCUUCCAACAGCCUUACCCUGCAAUGAGCCCCUCCCUUCAUGGGCUAGAUCACCAUCUGAGAGAAAAGCACAACCCUCCCUUCUUUCAGGUUUGUCUCUAAGGAUGUCCCUUUAACUUGUCCCUUGGGAUGCCUUCAUGAUUUCUUUCUAGCUUGCUCUAAAAAUGAAGUAAAGCCUGUCCAUGAUGCCUGGGACAUAUCAACUUCAAGGUCAUGGACGGAAAUGAUGAUAACUCAAAUUAUAGGACUGUCAACUUUCAAGCCCCCAUGACCUUAAAUGAUGGAUCAAGGGGCUGGGAUCAGAUCAAGAGAGCUUCAAACCACUGCUGACUGCUAGAGCAUUUAAUCUGCUGAUGGAGUGUUCAAUAUAAUAUAAUAUUGGAGUGUGUGUGUGUGUAGUCCAAUUAACCAAAGUGGUCUUCUUCCGAACAUUUUGAGGAUGCUGUAGUAAGAUCCCUGCAUCAGGUGAGAGUGGAACUAGUUACCAGAUGUUCUCUUCUGCCUGGGAUCCCUGCUCCUGUAAGACACUUGGUAAUCUGUUCCAAGAAUGAUGUUUUACCAUGGUGCUGUGCUAGGCACCAGGGACUGGAAGAUGAAGAAACAUUUCCUGCGCUCCUGGAGCUGCAGCCUAGCAGGCCUACCAAUAAGGACAGUGCCAUGGGAUAUGCUGCAGCACAGGCAGAAGCAAAGCGCUGUGGAGACCCCAAGGCUGGAUGUAGCAGCUCUGCCUGGCUGAGUCAGGAAGGUUCUCCAGAGGUCACAUCUGAUCCAGGUGUCAAGGGAUGAGCAGGAAUUUAUCUUGUGAAGAAGAGGAGGCUGGUUGUUUCAGCAAAAGAAAUAGCUCCUAAAAAGGCACCUAAGAGUAAGAUGUGCCCCAAAAGUGUCCCCAGGGGUGAUAGAGAGGCUGUAGCAGGAGGUAAGUCUGGAGACAGAACUCUGGUGGGGUUACUGGAGCAGGAGGGUCUAUCUGCUUUAAGGAAUAUACUGUGUUAGUCUUCUAUUGCUGCAUAGCAAAUUACCCCAAAACUGAGAAGCUUAAAACAGUUAACGUGUGUUAUCGUAUAGUUUUCAUGGGUCGGGAACACAGUUGUAAAUUAGCAGUCCUCUGGCUCAGGGUCUCACAGGCUGUAAUCAAGGUGUCAGCCAGGACCAAAGUCAACUCAAGGUUCUACCAAGGGAGGGUGACCUUCCAGGUUCACUGCUGUGGCUGCUGGCUAGAGACAUCAGUUCCUUGCCACAUAGGCCUCUCCAUGAGGCAGGUCCCACCAUGGCAGUUGGCUUAGAGAGAGACUUUUUGUAACCCAAUCUUGGAAGUGACAUCCCAUCACUUUUGCCGUAUUCAGUUUGUUUAAAACCAAGUACCAGGUCCAUCCAGCCCAGGUUGAAGAAGAGGUUACAUGAGAGAGAGAAUAUCAGGAAGUGAUGAUUAUCAGGGGCUGUUUUAGAGGCUGCCUACCACAUAUACCAAGAGCUAUUUAUGGCCUCAUUGCAGCAUGAUCCCACUCUGCAUAAAUUAUAGAGAAAGACAUAUAAUUUUAUUGCAUAUUAGUUUUUGUUGAUGGGUACAUUCUGGUCCCUAGGAGCCCUGAAGAACAAUGUGCUUCAUUUCACAGCUCUCCCUAAGGAUUUUAUACAACCCACUUGGCACUCACACUGUUAUUAUUAAAUGGAUUCAGCCAAAAGCUGCCUGUGGGGGUAGAGAUCGGUGGGAAGGUAGGGCGGCAGAGGAAGGAAGUGAUCAGGACCCCAAAUUGAAUAAAGAAAAAGGUCACACGCCAACUGCAAGUUAGAAAAUGAAUCUGAGUAGAAGUAAGUAUCCUGGUUGACAGCUCACACACGAUGCCAACUUGCCACAGCUUGGCAGCGCCUUUGGUUUUCCCACAUGCAACUGAAAAUAGCUAGCAUUCAUCCUGAGGGAGUGCUACUAAAAUAAGUAACUACUUGGAGCUAUACCUCACUGCUCAUUCAAGCUGGAAGCAGUCUGCAAUUAUUUUGCUGAAAUUAGAUACAAAUUAAGUUGCCACUUCCGGAACUCUUUCUCUUGUGCCAUAUUACAAAAAGGAAACUGAUUUUUGAACUCGGACAGCUUAGAUGUGUUAGAUGUUGCUUCUUAAAAAUAAAUGUGCUCGGCCGGGCGCGGUGGCUCAAGCCUGUAAUCCCAGCACUUUGGGAGGCCGAGAGGGGCGGAUCACGAGGUCAGGAGAUCGAGACCAUCCUGGCUAACCCAGUGAAACCCCGUCUCUACUAAAAAACAAAAUACAAAAAACUAGCCGGGCGAGAUGGCGGGCGCCUGUAGUCCCAGCUACUCGGGAGGCUGAGGCAGGAGAAUGGCGUGAACCCGGGAGGCGGAGCUUGCGGUGAGCUGAGAUGUGGCCACUGCACUCCAGCCUGGGCGACAGAGCGAGACUCUGUCUCAAAAAAUAAAAAUAAAAAAAUAAAUAAAUAAAUGUGUUCUCUGACAGAAUAUCUAAAAAGACAGAUUAUUGAUUUUAAUCUCUCAUGAGGCCUAACCUCUACAUGAUCCAGGUUUCCUGAUUUUCAGACCUGAGUUAAGUUGCUAUGGAUAUAGAGUGACAGGCCAGUGAAGGAAACUGGGGAUAGCGAGUGGCCUGCCCACAGGUGAGAUAUACUCUUUAAACUUGUUAGGGAUAGAAAAGGGGGCCAGCCUAGAAUUGUCUUCUGGGAGGUAAGGGAAUGGUCCUGCUCCCACUUUUUAAAUAGUGGUUUGAAAGUUUUCUCAGGGUGUGCAUACAUUUAGACGUACAAGUUCUGCUACGUUUUAAAAAGGAAAACAGAAUAAACAAACAUAUAUGAAAACAAACAAUAAUAAUGAUGAUUUGGGUCUUUCCUCAAACUUGGCUGGAAGUUACUGGCACACAAAUAGUAGAGGUGCUUGGGGGUUUUCUCCUAUGAAGGAAACCCUGAUUUGUACUAUCUCAAUAAAGCAACACCUUCUUUUGACCUGCCUUUGGAAGUAGGUGAAUUUCUAAGAGCCCAGCUGUGCCUAGACCCUAGGAGGCCGUCAUGGCUCCCAGGGUGGUAAUGUUUCUCCACAACUUUGAAUUUCAAUUUCCCUUUACAAAAGGCAAAAUUUGUUUUAUUCCCCAUUGUUGGAGACAUUAGUCAUGGAUGAAACACAUUUAAAACUCCCCCAUGCCCUGCUUCUUGCCCACCCUAACAUCCCCACUCUAUAUCCUCAUUCCAAUCUAGUGAAUCUUAGAAAUGACACAUUGAAUGAAGAGCUUUCCACGUAACCUUUCCUCCUUGGUGAAGUUUUCUUUUUGCGGGGUUCUGGCGUGUGUGCGUGUGUGUUUGUAGCUCCAUAAUUCUCAAAGGAAAAAUUGCUAAAAGGUCGUCUACGCAAAUCCUUACGAUGGUGAAUCUCUACAACCUCACUUUAAUUUUAGGAGAUAUUUCAUUUCAUGCCUUAAGUUUUGCAGUUAUUUUCAGCGUCUCCUUUUCCAGACUUCUUAGGACUUGGAAAGAAAAUGAAAUGACGUUGAAUGAAAUCAAAGGAAAUUGAGUGAUCUGAAAUGAUUUGAUGUCAGCAGGAAUUUCCCAUACAGCUCACAGCCCUCCCCCGAGCACAUCUCCCUCUUGGGUAUGGUGAGUUCAGCUCCAAAUUUAUUCUGACAAGAAAGCACAGGCUCCAGUUGGUCUAAAUCAGGUGAAAAUCCAAAGCAACCAUCCUUCCUGGACAACUUUCUGCUUUCCCAGUGCUUAUCACGGUCUGAAAAUUCCUAUUUAAAGAAGCAGAGCUUUCUUUUAAGUCCUAACAGAGCAAAGUCACACUCAGCAGUGCACAAGCGCAAGUCGGGCUCGAGAAUGCAUUUCUGGCAGAAACGCUCCUCUUUUCUCUGUCUCCUCCAGCUCUCUGCAGGCCCA